UCACUUCGGCGCGCGGCAGGACGGGAAGGCGGAAGCUGCGCCAUCAUGCUCGUUUUCGCGUGCGUUCGCGUCGCGCGCUGUGCGAAGUAAUUUUAAACGUGUGAUUAGUUUUGCGCGCGGGGUAGAAAAAGAUGUGGCCCAUGCUUUGUGUAUUACUCGUGCCCCACUUCAAAGCAAAGCGUUCGUACGCACUGGAAGAUGGAUCCACGAAGGCUGAAACGAGAAGUUGCAACGUGCCCGGUCGGUAGUACUGGCAAGAUGGAAACUUUCAGCGAGUGUUCCCGCCUGAAAGCCGAGUUUGGUUUCAAGCCACCCUGGACAACUGCUGUAUGAGGCGCCGUUUCUCGUGAGGACCAGCGGGAAGGUCAUGCAGAUGGUAGCAGCAAUUUCACAAUGCCCAGCCUUGGCACCCCCCCAUCAAGAGCAAGCCACUUGCGUUCGCCUUCAGAUGGUUAAUGUCUUCUUGAAAGCGGUUGAGAAGACAACAUUGAUGCAAGAUUCCAGCAAUGCCAUGCGCUGCAUUUAUUGGUCAAGAUGCUCAGAGAAUGGAGUCCCUGCACCUCGUGGUUAACCGUGAACAUUUCUUUUUCUUUUGGAAAGCUAAAGGCCAUUUGCUGCAUCACUUGCAUUUUUGCAGCUCAGAUGUGUACUAUAUUUUUCUAAUUUUGAAUCAAUAUUGGCUGUUCAGUAUAAAAAAUGACGUACAGCGUGAAGGACAAGGACUGCGAGAGACACACUCCACUGACUUUCAACAAUAUUUUAUUGCGUUGCCACAUCGUGUGUGUAUACACAGAGGGGUCAUGCGCAGAAAAUGAAAGCCAGUCACAAGGGGUGUUCUAACAGCAAGUCAUUGUAAAAAGAACAUGGUCACUUGAAAAAAAAAACAUCACAAUUUCUAUCUGUUUAGAUACAAAAUUUCACUAGGGGUCAGCG